GAGUAAGAAAUUUUUGAACUAGCCAAACGCACCUGGAAAGGACGACCAUAGAAGGUGAUAGUCCUGUAGGCGA
rnacentral:rRNA from 1 species